GGCGGGCCGCCCCGCAUCGCAUAGGUGGUAAACCUGGUCAGGUCCGGAAGGAAGCAGCCAUAGCUAUU
rnacentral:SRP_RNA from 1 species